AUUGAACGCUGGCGGCAGGCCUAACACAUGCAAGUCGAACGAGUGGCGGACGGGUGAGUAAUGUCUGGGAAACUGCCCGAUGGAGGGGGAUAACUACUGGAAACGGUAGCUAAUACCGCAUACCAUCGGAUGUGCCCAGAUGGGAUUAGCUAGUUGGAGGGGUAACGGCCCACCAAGGCGAUGAUCAGUAGCCGGUCUGAGAGGAUGACCCGCCCCACUGGAAAUUGGACACGGGCCCGAAUCCGACGGGAGGCAGCCGUUGGGAAUAUUGCACAAUGGGCGCAAGCCUGAUGCAGUCAUGCCGCGUGUAUGAAGAAGGCCUUCGGGUUGUAAAGUACUUUCAGCGGGGAGGCGUUACCCGCAGAAGAAGCACCGGCUAACUCCGUGCCAGCAGCCGCGGUAAUAC
rnacentral:rRNA from 1 species